rnacentral:rRNA from 1 species
AACGAACGCUGGCGGCAGGCUUAACACAUGCAAGUUGAACGAUUAAGCACCUUCGGGUGUAUAUAAAGUAGCAAACGGGUGAGUAACACGUGGGAAUGUACCUUUUGGUUUGGGAUAGCCCCGGGAAACUGGGAUUAAUACCGGAUAAGGCUCUACGGAGGAAAGAUUUAUCGCCAAAAGAUCAGCCCGCGUUAGAUUAGUUUGUUGGUGAGGUAAUGGCUCACCAAGACUACGAUCUAUAGCUGGUCUGAGAGGACGAUCAGCCACACUGGGACUGAGAUACGGCCCAG